GCUGGGCAUGGUGGUGCAUGCCUGUAGUCCCAACUAUUCGGGAGGCUGAGGUGGGAGGAUCGCUUGAGCCCAGGAGUUUGAGGCUGCAGUGAGCUAUUAUCACACCACUGCACUCCAGCCUGGAUGACAGAGUGAGAUCCUGUCUCCA
rnacentral:SRP_RNA from 1 species